CACUCCUGCGGGAGGCAGCAGUGGGGAAUAUUGCACAAUGGGCGCAAGCCUGAUGCAGCCAUGCCGCGUGUAUGAAGAAGGCCUUCGGGUUGUAAAGUACUUUCAGCGGGGAGGAAGGCGAUAAGGUUAAUAACCUUGUUGAUUGACGUUACCCGCAGAAGAAGCACCGGCUAACUCCGUGCCAGCAGCCGCGGUAAUACGGAGGGUGCAAGCGUUAAUCGGAAUUACUGGGCGUAAAGCGCACGCAGGCGGUCUGUCAAGUCGGAUGUGAAAUCCCCGGGCUCAACCUGGGAACUGCAUUCGAAACGGGCAGGCUAGAGUCUUGUAGAGGGGGGUAGAAUUCCAGGUGUAGCGUUGAAAUGCGUAGAGAUCUGGAGGAAUACCGGUGGCGAAGGCGGCCCCCUGGACAAAGACUGACGCUCAGGUGCGAAAGCGUGGGGAGCAAACAGGAUUAGAAACCCCAGUAGUCCCAUG
rnacentral:rRNA from 1 species